AUGGCUGUCGUCAGCUCGUGCCGUGAGGUGUUGGGUUAAGUCCCGCAACGAGCGCAACCCCUACUGUUAGUUGCCAUCAGGUUAUGCUGGGGACUCUAACAGGACUGCCUACGCAAGUAGAGAGGAAGGUGGGGACGACGUCAAGUCAUCAUGGCCCUUACGCCCAGGGCUACACACGUGCUACAAUGGCGCAUACAGCGGGUAGCUACCUGGUAACAGGAUGCCAAUCUCGAAAAGUGCGUCUCAGUUCGGAUUGAGGUCUGCAACUCGACCUCAUGAAGUUGGAAUCGCUAGUAAUCGCGCAUCAGCAAUGGCGCGGUGAAUACGUUCCCGGACCUUGUACACACCGCCCGUGGGGCGGGGGCGGCGGGCCGGGCGCGGGGCGCGGCGGGCG
rnacentral:rRNA from 1 species